UGCUGGGAUGACCUGAGGAUGUACCGAUGGAAGGUCAGGAGUAAAUUCGUGUAGUAGAUGAGCUUGUAGUAGAAAGAACAGGGAAACGAUAAAGUAUAUUUUGACGAUGCGAGGUUUUAUUAUUAAGUAUUGAUAGAUGCUGAAGAUAUUAGAAAGAGUGAAUAAAUCUGGUGAUAUGAGGAUAUGCUGGAAGAAUAAAUGGAUUAAUUUAUCCCAUUUAUUUAUAUACUAUUUUGAAGAAAUAAAUAGGAAGAUAGUUAUGUCUUCACAUGUCCGACGUGGCCAAUGUUAUGAAAGGAUUUAGGACGCUUUUAGAAAUAAUUGGAAAUUGAAAUAAAGUAGAUCGUAGUAAAGCAAAAGUAUGUGUUUCUAGUUUAUUAAGAUAGUUAAAAAGUAAAUUGAAUAUAAAUUUCAAAUAAUUCGUUGAUAUAAGAAGAAAAUACAUAAGUUAAAAAGAUCAAGAUUCGUAAGUAUAACGGACUUUAUCUUAGAUGCAAGAUAAUCAGUAAUAGUACAAAGUCAAGAACCUCAUUAAAUAAGUUAUUUGGCACGCGUAAAGAAGGUUAUUAGGUUGCCGGACAGAUGUAUGUCGAAUUGCUAUUACAUCCAAGGUUAUAACCAUAUUCUCAGAAUCAUGAAUAUUCAGUAAUACAUUAAGGCACACGAGAAUGUUAUUAACAACCAAUCAAACAGCUGAGAUACGAAGAUUGAUGUAUACAAGAUAAUAAUUAAACUUUAACAAAUUUUUAAUUAUCUUUUAUUAUUAAGAUCAGAAAUUAAAAUUCUUCCCUAAAUAUUAUUCUUUUUAAUUUUAGAAAACAUAAUUCUGAUGCUUUUCAAAAACAAAUAAAUGCAUUUUGCAUAUCAUGAAGCAAUAAAUGUUUUGGCAGCAAAUUCCAUCGUUUGCAAAAGAAGCUCAAUUUCGGCUGGGGAACAAGAAUGUCGGGUAUUCAAUAGUGACUAUAAAAGCAAAUAUAAGUCUACUGUCCGUACUAUCCUUGUUCCUACCAGCAAAUUGAGUUGUCUUAUUUAUUUCAUUAAAAAGGUAAGUUAUAUACUGUUACUUAAACUUAUUUAAAGAAAGAAAUUAAUUGCUAUAUAAUUCAAUAAAUAUAAAUAUAAAUAUAUAUAUUCAGAUAUAACAUUUUAGUCAUUGCGUUUCAUGAGGUUAUUCACUCAUGUAUAACAAAUAGACUGAACGUAGUUUACAAGGUAAUUCAAGCAAUAUUUGAAAUAGAAAUACAUAUGUUAUUGUCAACUGAUAAUGUUAUUUAUUGUUAAUCUGUAUGAUUUAUGCACUGUGAUAUUUUAUGAUCAAAAAGAAAAGAAAAGAAUAAUUAAACUAUCCUUGUUCCUACCAGCAAAUUGAGUUGUCUUAUUUAUUUCAUUAAAAAGGUCGGAAGGCGCGAGUCCCACUCUCGCUGCCAAGCCAGUCCAUAACAACGACAUGUAGUCCCCAGAUAGCCAGACAUCUUUCUACCUACAGGAACCGUAGAAGAAGUUAACAAACGUGAGAAGGGAAAUCACCAUCAUGUUUAUCAAUAUAGAAGUCAUAAAGCACAAUCAUAGUCCCACCUUAACAAGUGUUCCCCUGUGAAGUAUACAACAAAAAGGACCAUAAAAACCUUCACAACACCUAUGCACAUGAUGCAGCGGAGAAACUGAUACACCAGCUCAUUACCACGAGAGAGAAACAAAUACAAAUAUUUCUGAUUCAAACAUCUGUCAAGUUUAUAAACAUCGGCUUUGGCUAUACUGUUUUUGGCUUAUAGCUCUUCAUCUUUUUAAUAAACUUUGGAUUUUCAAAUAUUUUGACUUCGAGCAUCACCGAAGAGACAAUGAUUGUCGAAAUGCGCAUCUGGUGCAGAAAAAUUGGUACCGUUUAUGUUAUUGUAUUUAUGGUUUUAAUACUUGUUUUUUUCAUCUAUCUGUCAGAAUGAAGUUAUACAGAAUUCUGUUGUGUAUUGUAUUGUUGGUUCAGACAGGAAAAGGCCAGUUAUUGUAUCCCGACUAUUACAGCUUUCUUCCACAAGCUACCUGUCCUGUAAAUACUGAUAGUUUCACCAAAAACAUUGUUAUAUUAUCUCUGUGUGUAACAGUGGGAUAUGUAAUGAAUCCUGCUAUUUCUACCUCCAUAUGGAAGAAAUGUUUAGACAUACCAACACUAGGUGCUUGCAACAGUGAACCAGACUGUGCCAGUGAUGGAACUAGAUGUGUUCCAAAAGACUCUCUGUAAUAUUGAUGUUUUUCCUCUACAACAUUUUUGUCAAUUACUUGUCUUAUAUACAUCAAUGAAUAAAAGAAGUCUGGUGUGGA